rnacentral:rRNA from 1 species
GACGAACGCUGGCGGCGUGCUUAACACAUGCAAGUCGAGCGGUAAGGCCCUUUCGGGGGUACACGAGCGGCGAACGGGUGAGUAACACGUGGGUGACCUGCCCUCAGCUCUGGGAUAAGCCUGGGAAACUGGGUCUAAUACCGGAUAUGACUCCAUGACGCAUGUUGUGGGGUGGAAAGCCUUGUGCGGCUGAGGAUGGGCCCGCGGCCUAUCAGCUUGUUGGUGGGGUGANGGCCUACCAAGGCGACGACGGGUAGCCGGCCUGAGAGGGCGACCGGCCACACUGGGACUGAGACACGGCCCAGACUCCUAC